rnacentral:rRNA from 1 species
UACGUAGGGUGCAAGCGUUGUCCGGAAUUAUUGGGCGUAAAGAGCUCGUAGGCGGUCUGUUGCGUCUGCUGUGAAAACUCAGGGCUUAACCCUGAGCUUGCAGUGGGUACGGGCAGACUAGAGUGCGGUAGGGGAGACUGGAAUUCCUGGUGUAGCGGUGAAAUGCGCAGAUAUCAGGAGGAACACCGGUGGCGAAGGCGGGUCUCUGGGCCGUAACUGACGCUGAGGAGCGAAAGCAUGGGGAGCGAACAGG